GUGGGAUGGAGAUGAAAAGGGAGCUCCUGUUGAGAUUCUCAGGCUUGGCAUCAACAGCAUCCUUGCUUCCUGUGAUGAGAAAGGGUUUGGAUCUGUGGCCUUUCCUGUUCUUGGAGCUGGGAUUGUCCUGCAAUUUCCUGAAACUGUGGUAGCCAGAGUUUUACUAGAGGAAAUCCAUACAUUUGAACAAAACAGAAGCAGCAGCACACCGAUUGUGAUUCGCAUCGUCAUACACCCCGAUGAUGAAGAGACUGAACAGGCUUUCAGGUUUGAGCAGGAAGCUUUGAAAUAUAACGGAUCCACUCAGGAGGAUCAGCAACA